rnacentral:rRNA from 1 species
GACGAAGGUGGCGACCGUUGUUCGGAAUUACUGGGCAUAAAGCGCACGUAGGCGGCAAUGUAAGUCAGGUGUGAAAUCCCUCGGCCUAACCGAGGAAUUGCGCUUGAGACUGUGUUGCUUGAGGGCAGGAGGAGAGCGUGGAAUUCCUGGUGGAGCGGUGAAAUGCGUUGAUAUCAGGAGGAACACCGGCGGCGAAGGCGACGCUCUGGCCUGUUUCUGACGCUGAGGUGCGAAAGCCAGGGGAGCAAACGGG